rnacentral:rRNA from 1 species
CAGCAGCCGCCGCGGGAAUACGGAGGGGGCUAGCGUUGUUCGGAAUUACUGGGCGUAAAGCGUACGUAGGCGGUUUUGUAAGUUAGAGGUGAAAGCCCGGAGCUCAACUCCGGAAUUGCCUUUAAGACUGCAUCACUUGAACGUCGGAGAGGUGAGUGGAAUUCCGAGUGUAGAGGUGAAAUUCGUAGGCAUUCGGAAGAACACCAGUGGCGAAGGCGGCUCACUGGACGACUGUUGACGCUCAUGCACGAAAGCGUGGGGAGCAAACGGGAUUAGAUACCCGUGUAGUCCCUGUCUCUUAUAC